GGUGAGGUCACACCCCCUUCCAGCCUGAUGCAGACAAGGAGCUGAAGGGAGAUCGCUGAGAGCCCCUGCUGUCACCAUGAGCUCAGAAAACUUCGGAGACUGCUCAGAUAUUGAGAUCUUUUUUGAAGACGUCGUUGAAUGUCUCUGGGACACACUGAGCAGAGACGAACUGCUGCUCCUUCUGAAUGAAUUCCUGGAGAAAAUUAAGGCUGACGCCAAUUUGUCCAGGGAAGACGCGGAUGAGCUACACAAAUAUCUGAAGGAAUUGAAAAGAGCCUUGGGUGAGCUGGGCCAAGAAAGACUCCCCAAAGAGCAGCUGGACAGGAGGCGGUUUCUGAAAAAGUUUCCUUGGGUGAAACAGCAGCUGGAGGAGUUCAUAGUCAAGUUACAUGAGCUCGCAGACAAGGUUGAGAAGGUCCAUAAGGGAUGUACCAUCUCCAACGUGAUGGCCCACAGCACCGGUGCUGUGUCUGGCAUUCUGACCAUCAUUGGCCUGGCUCUGGCACCCGUGACAAUGGGGGCCAGUGUGGUGCUCUUGGGCACUGGGAUAGGGCUGGGAGCAGCAGCUGCUGUGACCGGUGUGUCCACCACUAUCAUCGAACAUGUGAAUAGGUCAUCAGCAGAAACCGAAGCCAGUCGCAUGAUGUCAACUGUUGUCAAGAAAUGGAAGGUUCUCCUAGAGGUACUCAAGAGCAACCGCCACAUUGUUGGCACAACAGAGAAAGUCACAGAAGCUGAACACUGCAUUGAAAUGCACACCCAUGCCCUGGAGACAGGCAAUGCCAACCCUGGCUCUGCAGCCAAAGCAAGCGUCUACAUGAGCCCUGGGAGGAUCUCAGUCCCAGCCAUCGAGCAGAUAGAGGCAGGUUUCAAAGCCACAGCUUCAGCAAUUACAAAAGGAGCCCGGAUCGCGGGCUUGGCCAUUGCAGGGGUGCUCCUCCUGGUGGAUGUGGGCUUCCUGGUGAAGGAGUCGAAGCACCUGUACGAUGGUGCCAAGACAGUAGCAGCUGACAGCUUUAGGCAGCGGGCCUGGGAGCUGGAGAGGAAGCUGGAGGAGCUCACCCAGAUCUAUGAGAGUCUGCAGGAGGACCUGAUUUAGCCACCCCCAGAGCAUUGCAGGGUCCAGGACAUGUGAGGGGCUAAAGUGCAGAGGUACCUUGUUAGAGGGAAGGAGAGGGAGACCACAUUAAAGAAGCUGGGUGUUAGGAAUUUGGCAUUUCUGUGGUUGAGCACAGCAGGGAAGGAAUGGAUGUAGGUGAUAGAUGAGGAGAGAGAAGGAAGGGGCCUGGAGCCUGGAUUAAGGGAGGAGGGGGACCAGAGAAUGAGAGGCGGGGAGAAACCGCUGUUUUUCAUAUGAACAACUUUUUAUUUUGCACUGGAGUAUAGCCGAUUAACAAUGUCGUGAUAGUUUCAGGUGAACAGCAAAGGGACUCAGCCACUCAUACACACGUAUCCAUCCUGCCCCACACUCCCCUCCCAUCAGAAACCACUACUUUGGACUAAAGAUGACACUGGAGGUGGAAUACAGGGAGCAGCAGGCGAACUGGCAGUGAGAGGCCAGGUGUUCGAAGGCGUUGAAAGUGGGAGAAAGUCAGUUAGGGUUGUUGGGAUCCAGAAGUAGCAGGGGCUCCUCUCUCGCCCUCCACAGGCUGUGAUGUCCCAGCAAGAAGAGUCUUCCCCUGGUGCUG
rnacentral:lncRNA from 1 species